CAGUCGCCACGGGAAUACGUAGGGUGCAAGCGUUAAUCGGAAUUACUGGGCGUAAAGCGUGCGCAGGCGGUUAUAUAAGACAGAUGUGAAAUCCCCGGGCUCAACCUGGGAACUGCAUUUGUGACUGUAUAGCUAGAGUACGGCAGAGGGGGAUGGAAUUCCGCGUGUAGCAGUGAAAUGCGUAGAUAUGCGGAGGAACACCGAUGGCGAAGGCAAUCCCCUGGGCCUGUACUGACGCUCAUGCACGAAAGCGUGGGGAGCAAACAGGAUUAGAUACCCCCGUAGUCCAUGUCUCUUAUAC
rnacentral:rRNA from 1 species